rnacentral:tRNA from 1 species
GCGCCCGAAGCUUUGAUGGCGAAGCACAGGUCUCUUAAACCUGGGAGGAGGGUUCGAGUCCCUACGGGCGCACCA